GACGAAUAAAUGCAUUCGGGUGGCCACACAGACAGCUGAACAGAGGAGGACUACACGAGGGAUGGAGAGGCGGUCACCGACGCGCACCUCUUUGCGCUUGAACUCCACGGCGGCGCUGGCGGUGUCCUUGCCGCCGGGGAAGGCUGCAGACCCAGAGAUCCUGCUCUGGCAUUUGGUGGUUUUGAAAAAAUAAUGUUAGGAAUUAUUGGAAAUUAUGGAAGCAACAUGUGCUCAUUUUUACCAACAUGAGAAACAAAGGCAAAAAAAGAAGAAAUUAAGUCGCUGGAAAACGAACGUGGAGGACACGAAUGUGGAAGAGGCAGCAUGCAAAACCAGAGGAUUUGUGGACAACCUUGCACAGACACGUCCCUCCUGCCCCAGGGUAGAGGAAAGGAUGCUGAGGGGCUGUUUGGGUUUUCCUUCACGUCCUCUCCAUGUUCCUGUGCCCUAAACCUGGCACGAAUCCAGGAUCCACUUGCAAAAAUCUUGUCUUGGUUCCGCAGCUUUCGUUUAAAUUGGGUGCAACUGCUCCUCCAGCGGCGGCCCUGCUGCCCUCCCUGCACCUCCUGGGGGGUCCCAGCCCCAUGCCCGCCCCCCAGCCCCCAGGGGAGCAUCUCAAGCCUUGACCUCCUUGGAACCCCACUUGGUCCUCUGUCCCUCAACAUCCCACAGGCAGCCUGGCAGGAAAUUCUGUAGGGUCUGCCUUGGAAGCCUGCCACUGGUCCUAAGGGAUUUCUCUCCUAACCUCCAACUGUCUCCGGGAGUGGCUUCCACCCAGGAC